rnacentral:rRNA from 1 species
GACGAACGCUGGCGGCGUGCUUAACACAUGCAAGUCGAACGGAAAGGCCCUGCUUUUGUGGGGUGCUCGAGUGGCGAACGGGUGAGUAACACGUGAGUAACCUGCCCUUGACUUUGGGAUAACUUCAGGAAACUGGGGCUAAUACCGGAUAGGAGCUCCUGCUGCAUGGUGGGGGUUGGAAAGUUUCGGCGGUUGGGGAUGGACUCGCGGCUUAUCAGCUUGUUGGUGGGGUAGUGGCUUACCAAGGCUUUGACGGGUAGCCGGCCUGAGAGGGUGACCGGCGACAUUGGGACUGAGAUACGGCCCAGACUCCUACGGGAGGCAGCAGUGGGGAAUAUUGCACAGUGGGCGGAAGCCUGAUGCAGCAACGCCGCGUGCGGGAUGACGGCCUUCGGGUUAUAAACCGCUUUCGCCUGUGACGAAGCGUGAGUGACGGUAAUGGGUAAAGAAGCACCGGCUAACUACGUG